rnacentral:lncRNA from 1 species
AACUUGCCAGAUUGUUUAGCUCGUGUUGCGUGUUAUCACCACUUUCAGCGUUCGUUGAUCUAGACCCGUCGUGCACCAUGUAUCUUGUUUUUGACCUGUGAUCCUGAGCCUGCCUAGUCCCUGCCUGCCUUGUCUGCCCUGGUCUUCUGCUCUGGCCUGUUACCGACCUUGUCUGCCUGCCUGACCACGAUUCUACGCCUGACGAUCUGCCUGUCCGUGCCGUGCAUGUGGGUCCGCCGCCUUGACGUUCUGACAGAAACAAGCAGUGCAAGAGGAAACGGAGCAUCCAGCUGAUGAUUUGAGUAUUUGAAAGGUCAUUGGUAUUUCUACCAUUUCUGAUGAGCAGCAAAGUUAUUGGUAAGUCAAUGAAAUAUAUUUUUUAUUUGCCAAUGACAUAAUACAAUACAGGUUUACAAGUAAAAAC